UAUGAAAUCAACCGAAGAAAUAGGACA
rnacentral:sRNA from 1 species